rnacentral:rRNA from 1 species
AUUCUGGCUCAGGACGAACGCUGGCGGCGUGCUUAACACAUGCAAGUCGAGCGGAAAGGCCCUUCGGGGUACUCGAGCGGCGAACGGGUGAGUAACACGUGGGUAACCUGCCUUCAGCUCUGGGAUAAGCCUGGGAAACUGGGUGUAAUACCGGAUACGACACGCGACCGCAUGGUGUGUGUGUGGAAAGUUUUUCGGCUGGAGAUGGACUCGCGGCCUAUCAGCUUGUUGGUGGGGUAGUGGCCUACCAAGGCGAUGACGGGUAGCCGGCCUGAGAGGGCGACCGGCCACACUGGGACUGAGACACGGCCCAGACUCCUACGGGAGGCAGCAGUGGGGAAUAUUGCGCAAUGGGCGAAAGCCUGACGCAGCAACGCCGCGUGAGGGAUGACGGCCUUCGGGUUGUAAACCUCUUUCAGCGCUGACGAAGCCUUCGGGUGACGGUAGGCGCAGAAGAAGCACCGGCUAACUACGUGCCAGCAGCCGCGGUAAUACGUAGGGUGCGAGCGUUGUCCGGAAUUAUUGGGCGUAAAGGGCUCGUAGGCGGUUUGUUGCGUCUGCUGUGAAAGCCCGGGGCUUAACCCCGGGUCUGCAGUGGAUACGGGCAGGCUAGAGUCCGGCAGGGGAGACUGGAAUUCCUGGUGUAGCGGUGGAAUGCGCAGAUAUCAGGAGGAACACCGGUGGCGAAGGCGGGUCUCUGGGCCGGUACUGACGCUGAGGAGCGAAAGCGUGGGGAGCGAACAGGAUUAGAUACCCUGGUAGUCCACGCCGUAAACGUUGGGCGCUAGGUGUGGGUUCCCUUCCACGGGAUCCGUGCCGUAGCUAACGCAUUAAGCGCCCCGCCUGGGAGACCGCCGCCAUUCC